UGGGGAAUAUUGCACAAUGGGCGCAAGCCUGAUGCAGCCAUGCCGCGUGUGUGAAGAAGGCCUUCGGGUUGUAAAGCACUUUCAGCGGGGAGGAAGGCGUUAAGGUUAAUAACCUUGGCGAUUGACGUUACCCGCAGAAGAAGCACCGGCUAACUCCGUGCCAGCAGCCGCGGUAAUACGGAGGGUGCAAGCGUUAAUCGGAAUUACUGGGCGUAAAGCGCACGCAGGCGGUUUGUUAAGUCAGAUGUGAAAUCCCCAGGCUCAACCUGGGAACUGCAUCUGAUACUGGCAAGCUUGAGUCUCGUAGAGGGGGGUAGAAUUCCAGGUGUAGCGGUGAAAUGCGUAGAGAUCUGGAGGAAUACCGGUGGCGAAGGCGGCCCCCUGAACGAAGACUGACGCUCAGGUGCGAAAGCGUGGGGAGCAAACAGG
rnacentral:rRNA from 1 species